CCCACAUUUAAAGGGUCAGCAGGUGAGGGAGAGGCAUUUCUCUGGAUAGAGAUUGUGGUCCUCUUGAGCUGUUCUUCAAAGGGAAAUCUGUAUCUGUGCAGAGGAUCCACAAAUCAGCUAUAAAAAGAGUUUGUCAGCCGUGUCCCAAUGGGUUCCAACCCUUUUGCCUAGAAACUGACUUUCCUCCACUUUGCUCCUGAGGGAUGCUUUGACAUGGUCUGCCACAUUCUUCAGGUCUUAUUUGUCACUACUUCACAAGAGUGCUGAGUGGUGGUGGUGCUGAAUUCCCAGUGUUUAUUUGGGUACUGGAGAAGAAAAUUGCAAAUGGAGUCCAAAAGGACUUUAACUUCUCUUUAUGGGGCAAAAUACUGCAUUAAUAUCCCAUUUUGAUGAGCAAAUUUGACUUUCAAGUCUGGUAAACUCAGUUCCAGAAGUGUCAUACAGAAAUAUUUAUUAGCAGUAUCUUACAUUAUUUUAAUUUAUUACAAAAAAAAGAUGUCAAAAUAGAGCUGUUACAUCUGAAUAUCCUUGAUCCAGGUGCCUGAGACUUAAGAGCAAUGAGGAGGGAGAGACAGGGAAAGACAGACAUGGUUUCAAAGGAUUGUCUUUUUUUUUUACGAAACAGUUUGAGGUAAGAAGAUUUGCAGUACACAGAUGUACACUGCAGAUCCCAUAGUGCCAUAGCAUGGCAGCUCAGCUAUUAGCAUCAGUCUAGCUGUGGCACCAGAGAGCGCAGAAAAUAUUGUCCUGCCCAAGAUCUAUGGCAUACUGUACUGACUGGGGCCCUAUGAAGGGCAGUUAUAUUGAGUCUUUCUGUGCUCAUUCUAGAAAGGUACUGCACUGCAGGCAAUCUUUGUUAGGUAACCCCAUUUGGAGGAGGGCAGGGAGUCCUGACCUAAGAGACUCACUUUCCUGAAGGUAGCUUAGAUGAGCUGAGUGCAUACAGAUCUUUCUGGAGUUUAUCUUCAUCUGUUAAACAGUAGAGAUAAACUGCUCCCUCUAGCAUGCUUAUGUUACAUCUUUAUGUGUAAACGUAUGAUUCCACUGCAUGAAAUCAAAUGCAGUGCGUAUACUACAAAAUAUUUUUUGUUUCUAAUAAUUUGAUUUUUAAGUGAUGUAACUUGACUCCUUCAUAGUGCCUUUCUUAGCUAUUUUCAUCAGCAUUCAGACUAAUAAGGAAUGUUCCCUAACACUCUCCAGCCCCACAAAAGUCUAGAAAAUCUUUUGUACCCUUUUUUUUUUUUUUUUUUGCUGAGAAUAUGCUUUCCCUCUAUUAAGCUAAGAUUAAUCACAAGUUUUCACAAUUUAAUCUCAGGUAAUAGGCAAUAGGAUGACACUUUUUUUAAAAAAUAUAUUUCACAAGAUUGAGUGGUAAUUAUAGAAAUUCUGCAGGUAAGCCUUUGAGAUGUUAUGUGUUUGUUCAAAUGCAACUCCAAAGUAGAGGAGGUGCAAUUCAGGUUAACAAAUUCUGCGGUACAUAUUUUGUUACGCUAACUGUGGCUGUGCUCAGCUGACAAACUGAGGCUCUUAGUAGUGAAAAACGAAUCUUUUUUUAUAUACAAGUUCUAUUGGAUUAGCUAGCACUAAAGUCUGUCUGUCCCAGCACCAACAAUAUAUGUAAGAUUUUAUUCAUUUGCUUCAUGGAUCAUAAAAUUGAGGCAUUAAAAAUGGCACUGCAACAACAGUUAUCAUGAAUAGCUGCAGUUCAGAUUGUCUUUGGAAGAAAAAUCUGAGAUAACCAGUGGAUUUACCAGUGGAAAUACUGCAAAAUCAUAGAAUGAUUGGGGUUGGAAGGGACCCUUAAGAUCAUAUUGUUCCACUCCCCCCCCUCCCACUAUGGGCAGGGACACUUCCUUCUAGACCAGGUUGCCCAAAGCCAUGACUUGAGUGCUUCCAGGGAAGGGACAUUAUCAACCUCACUCAGCAACCUGUUCCAGUGUCUCACCAUCAUGUGAAAUUGUGGGAAAAUUUAUUUUAAACCGUGUAAAAAUUGUUUGGAAGUUAAACUUUUGCUGUAACAUUGAACUUAACAUCUUAAGAAUUUAGAAGAAUAGCAGUGAGUUAUUGAAGAAAUCUUUUUUUUUUCAUCCCCACACUUUGCUUUCUUCUUUAAAAGAUAUUCUUUAAUGACAAAAUGCUGAUGUCUAGUUCUAGCUACUGGGAAAAACUGCCCAGUGCAUGAACUGUGGUGAUAUUUUGCUGUACCUUCUUCCCCAGCCAAUAUUUCAGAAGGAAAUAUGGACUUUCUGGCUUAAAGGCUUACUUAACAGUCCUGUAUUUCCUGCUUAUGUAAGUACUAGUUAAGAUGCUUGCUGUGAUAAACCGCUGUGCUUCCGAAGGCAUUAGAUGUUCUUCUGAAAUGAUACUGUGUGACACUGUUUCAUGGAAUAUUUCUAAACAAUAAAAGCAAUAUAAUUUUGAUGGUCUCUUCUUGGAUAUCAGACUACU
ensembl:lncRNA